CAGGGCAUAAUUUAAGCAGAAUGUUGGCUUUGGGGGUCAAUAGCAGAGGUUAAAGUCCUCUUGUCCUGA
rnacentral:tRNA from 1 species